AUGAACGCUGGCGGCGUGCCUAAUACAUGCAAGUCGAGCGAACAGACGAGGAGCUUGCUCCUCUGACGUUAGCGGCGGACGGGUGAGUAACACGUGGAUAACCUACCUAUAAGACUGGGAUAACUUCGGGAAACCGGAGCUAAUACCGGAUAAUAUAUUGAACCGCAUGGUUCAAUAUUGAAAGACGGUUUUGCUGUCACUUAUAGAUGGAUCCGCGCCGCAUUAGCUAGUUGGUAAGGUAACGGCUUACCAAGGCGACGAUGCGUAGCCGACCUGAGAGGGUGAUCGGCCACACUGGAACUGAGACACGGUCCAGACUCCUACGGGAGGCAGCAGUAGGGAAUCUUCCGCAAUGGGCGAAAGCCUGACGGAGCAACGCCGCGUGAGUGAUGAAGGUCUUCGGAUCGUAAAACUCUGUUAUUAGGGAAGAACAAAUGUGUAAGUAACUAUGCACGUCUUGACGGUACCUAAUCAGAAAGCCACGGCUAACUACGUG
rnacentral:rRNA from 1 species